rnacentral:rRNA from 2 species
GUGGGUAGUUUGACUGGGGCGGUCUCCUCCUAAAGAGUAACGGAGGAGCACGAAGGUUGGCUAAUCCUGGUCGGACAUCAGGAGGUUAGUGCAAUGGCAUAAGCCAGCUUGACUGCGAGCGUGACGGCGCGAGCAGGUGCGAAAGCAGGUCAUAGUGAUCCGGUGGUUCUGAAUGGAAGGGCCAUCGCUCAACGGAUAAAAGGUACUCCGGGGAUAACAGGCUGAUACCGCCCAAGAGUUCAUAUCGACGGCGGUGUUUGGCACCUCGAUGUCGGCUCAUCACAUCCUGGGGCUGAAGUAGGUCCCAAGGGUAUGGCUGUUCGCCAUUUAAAGUGGUACGCGAGCUGGGUUUAGAACGUCGUGAGACAGUUCGGUCCCUAUCUGCCGUGGGCGCUGGAGAACUGAGGGGGGCUGCUCCUAGUACGAGAGGACCGGAGUGGACGCAUCACUGGUGUUCGGGUUGUCAUGCCAAUGGCACUGCCCGGUAGCUAAAUGCGGAAGAGAUAAGUGCUGAAAGCAUCUAAGCACGAAACUUGCCCCGAGAUGAGUUCUCCCUGAGACUUAGAGUCUCCUGAAGGAACGUUGAAGACGACGACGUUGAUAGGCCGGGUGUGUAAGCGCAGCGAUGCGUUGAGCUAACCGGUACUAAUGAACCGUGAGGCUUAACCUUACAACG